rnacentral:lncRNA from 1 species
UUGGCGCCAAAACUAGCGGCAAAUUUAAAAAGGAGGCCAACAUUUCGCUGUUUCGGCUUUUUAAGCAGCUGGUCGGUCCGGCGCCAAUAUGGCCGACCAACAUUGACAGGCAAGCCGUAAAAUAAAAUAUUUAUUAAUUGUAAUAGAAUUACGUUUAUUAUCUACAGUUUACCUUCAUUUUAACGCCUAUAUAUGUUAAGAGGUUAUAAACGAAUGGUUUCCGUACAAGUGUUUUUCAUUUGUAUUAGCAUUUAUUUUAUGUUACCUUUUAGCGCAAAGUACGCCAACAGAAUACUUAAUUCAGUCGAAACAAUUGGAAAAACUUUGUUUGUUGAUGAGAACGGGAUACCUAUACCAUAAGUAAACUUUCCCUAUUAUACCAGUUAUGCUGUAGUUAGUUUUGACAAAUAAGCAUGAUUUAACGAAAGUCUUUGGAACUAUGAAUAAGCUACAAACUUAAAUUUGAAGGCCGGCUUUUAUACGAGAAAAUUUUGAACCAUGGUUGAAACAAAUAAAUGUAAUAAUUAAAUUGAUAUGAUACAUACCUGCUAUUUUUGAAAUAUAUUAAUAUAUUGAUAGAAAGAUUGUUUCAGUUAGUAUGACUUCAGGUAGUUUCAGCAUUUUAGGUAUGUAAUUGUGCACUUAUUUUAUAAAUAACUUAGAAAGAAGCUUGAAACGCAUAGGGGCUCUUUAUGUGUGCUGUAUAAUUAAGGUUUGUAUG